CUUUAUCACACAGUCAUCCAUUUAAGGGUAAAAGGUCCAAUCAAAUGGUGCUCAUUGAGAAACAUUGUGGGACCCAGGGCUCAGCAAGUGACGUGACCUGUUUUGGAAGCAAAAUUUACAUCAGUCAGUCUGGAAGACUGUUCUGUGAUGAUUCGGUCAUGUUUGUGCAUGCAGUGUUGUUGGGCUCGGGUACUAAAUUAAUUUUUUUUUCUGUAUAGGCAGCGUUUCAAGCUGAAACACUGCACAUACAGACUGCUUGCACCAUAUGCAGGACUUAGAGUUCGCAAGUCUUGCAGUCAGAGCAGUAUGUAGGUAGCACUUCUGAUGAUCAACUCAAGAAUAGCUGUCUUAUUUAUUUCAUUCAUCUAUUUCAAUUAUAUC